rnacentral:lncRNA from 1 species
GUCAAGAUGAAAAACUUCAUCUAAUGGAAUCCAGCUUGAAAGCAACUCAAGAGCAGCUAACUGAGCAAAGAGCAGCAAUAGUUCGUCAAGAACAGAACAGCACAAAAUCACAGGCAGAGCUGAAGACAGUGAGAGAACGUAUUAUUGCUUCUGCAGAAGAAAUUAAUGAUUACAACUCAAAGGUUGAAUUUAUGAAAAAUAUUAAUGAAAUUAUGGGAGGACAGAGCCAACUUAAGAAUGGGGUGCAUUGGAUACCUUACCUCUAUAGAAAAUACAAUUCAGAAGUCAAAAUCAGAAAACAAAAACAUUUAGCGCAAGAUAAUUUCAUAGAGAGAACAGAUAAGGCCCUGAAUAUGUAA